CCUACGGGGUGCAGCAGUGGGGAAUAUUGGGCAAUGGGCGCAAGCCUGACCCAGCAACGCCGCGUGAAGGAAGAAGGCUUUCGGGUCGUAAAGUUCUUUCGACAGGGAAGAAAAUGCCUAUAAUUAACUGUGUAUGUAUUGACGGUACCUGUAUAAGCAGCCCCGGCUAACUCCGUGCCAGCAGCCGCGGUAAUACGGAGGGGGCGAGCGUUGUUCGGAGUGACUGGGCGUAAAGAGCACGUAGGCGGUGUUGUAAGUCAUUAGUCAAAGACUAGAGCUCAACUUUAGUAAGGCUAGUGAUAUUAUAAUACUAGAGUAUCAGAGAGGAUUGCAGAAUUCCUGGUGUAGCGGUGAAAUGCGUAGAUAUCAGGAGGAAUACCGUUAGCGAAGGCGGCAAUCUGGCUGGAAACUGACGCUGAGGUGCGAAAGCGUGGGUAGCAAACAGGAUUAGAUACCCUAGUAGUC
rnacentral:rRNA from 1 species